CUGGGAUGGACACGGAUAAGGGGCUGCCUGCGACUCCUCAGCCAGGGGCUGCUCUGAACAGGCACCCGGAGAUGCUUCAGCCUGGACAGACCCCACCCACAGCCCAAAAUUACCCCGAGGAACAGCUGGCAUUACCCGGGAAUGUCGGCACGGUGCGUUCGCUCAGGUAGCAAUUCUCGGUGCCGAGCUCCCGGAGGCCCCGCACGCCCCCAGUUCCCCGGUGAGAAGAACACAAACUCAGAGCCAUCAAGCCUGACAGUUCCCUGCAGCGAGAGCUCAGCACACGUCCACAGGGACAAGUCAAGCAUCUGAAAGAAAGAAAGAGAGAAGAAAAAGGUCAACAAGGCUUCCCUGCAGUGUUAUGCUCUGUGCCUGAGAGUGGCAGCACACAGUGUGCUAAUGUGGCUUUGUUGGUAUCAGCACUAAAUUCCUACCUGGCAUCUGCUGUGACUACAGGAUCUGCUCGAGUGACCACAGGUCCCAGUCCACCUUAGAGUCUUGCAUGGGGGUGAGUUCAGUACAGGGGAACUGUCUGAGGCACUCCAUCCUCAGGCUUUCCACCCUCACCAGGUGUGGGUGGUCCUUUCUAAUUCCCUUCUGAUACCAAUACAGAAAAAGCAUCACAAUGGCCUUACAGAACUGCCUGGUCUCUUAAACAGAGUGCCAGUGAAUUCCAGGAGCUUGCAAAGUAUAAUCUCUAUGAUAGGCCCUUUCUUUGAUACACCUUCUACCCCACUGCAAACACAAGUUUUGGGUUCCCCUCCCCACCUAGCUGUCAUCCAGCUGUCCAGAUAAUCAAUUCCAAAGCUUUGCCCCUCAGCCUCCAUUCUGCACCACCUUCCAUGCCUUAAAUCCAGCAGACUCCUGGUCCCCCCAGCAGCUCAGAAGCCCCAGUUCUAACUGGUCUCAGGGGAAAUUGUUUGGGAUGGUGACACUGCUGGUGCUGGCCACAGAGGAGCACAGUCCCAAGCCCUGGGAUCUCUGCCGGAGCCUGUGCCGAGUGCUGUCCCCACACUGAGCACUCAGUGUGGCAACCAGAGGCGUGCCUGACCCUGGAGCUCCUGGCUUAUCCACAGGAGUCAGGCACUAGUUAUCCUGGCAAGGAUAACUACAAACCAAACCCAAGAUAACAGGUAAUAUAGAGAAUGGAGAACAUGAAGGAAGGGAUGAGCUGCUCCAUCUCCAGCAAGGAAAGGGCAGUUCUUAUAAUUCACUGGCUGCUCUGCACAUUGAGUAAAUAGAAAAAAGAAAAGCACAAGGUAAACCCAAACAACCAAAACACACACACACAAAAACCCCCCAAACCAGACAACCUACCUUGAAUGGUGGCUGUAUAUUAGGCACUGAGUAUUCUCUACUUUGGUGAACAAUGCAGGUCCUUAUUCAGACCCAGCAGCAGACCAGCACUGUCAGCACUGACUCCUCAUGCCUGAUACUGUUUAUGUCCUAAACUCUCAGCAGAGUUUCAUCUUGACAAAAUCUAUCCCAAUCUAGCCCACAGAUUCCUUCCCUGGUACCGCUGUCCAUGGUAUGUUGUGCUGUCAUUUUCUUUGCCAUGAGAAUGAACACCAAUUAGUUCAAGAAAUUUUGGAAACAUCCCCCAUAUCCUAUUAUUCUCCUAACGGUAAUUGCCCAGGCCCAGGGCAGAAGCAAAGUGGUCUAAAUUAAGGAAGCCAUGAGAAUAAACUGUGAAAGGUGAUGAAUUUUUCCAGGGAAUAGAGGUGGGUCUCUUAUACUUCAGCAAGUUUGUGAUUUGAGUGGAGUGCAGAAAGAGGAAAGGCACAGCGAGAGAACAGCAGCAGUGGAGGGAAAGUGGCCCACAAGUGCUGCUUUGCCAAUUGUACCUCAGUGUGGCAACAUCACAUCUUGCUGGUGGUUUCCAAGAAUGGCCAGGACACGUAUUUGUAUUCCCAGAGCACAGGGAACCCCUUCAGAAUUGCUUCCAUAACCAGCUGGUCUGACAAAUAGGUGUGUGAAAGAACACUGUUAUAUGUGUAUACUCCAACACAAACACCCAGGAAGCGCAGCCUGCCCUGCAUUAGGAACCCUCUAAUCAUGUGCAAAUGAGAGCAAUUCACUGCCAAAGUGUGAUGCUGGGGGUUGCCGGUUUGCAAAUCGAAAACUCUUUAAUUCACACUAACCCAGAACACAGUUCCAAUUUGAUAUGAAGAGAGGAUGAUUUCAUGAUGAGGACUAUCAGAUUCUGAAGCAUUUCGCCCACAGAGAAACUCCCUCCUGGGAGGUUGUCAGCAACACUCAGCAACCUGUUCAAAGUUCAGUGUUGAGCCAGAGAUGGGACUGAAGACAUUUGGAGGCCCUUCCUCCCUGCCUGAUCCUGUGCUAAUCCCCACCUUUUCUGCACAGCCAUUCUGAAAUGGAGGGCUUCUUCCUGUAUUAUUUGGUGGAUACACAUUUUUGGGGCACAAGGACUGCUCCUUGAGCUGACAAAGCACAGAUAAAGUAACUUUCUCCUUCUCUCACCUAUCCGACUGCCACAGCAAAUCUUGGGCUCCUGCAGGUGGCCAGACAACCCUGUCAGGGCUUAUAAAUGCAUUUGGGAUUAUCUCCUCAGAAGAAUGUGUUCUUUGGCUGAUCUGAUCACCAGAAAUUGGCACUUGAUUCUGCCUCGAGUUGUGUGGUAUUAAAGCUUCAGUGGACACCUACUUUUUCAAAGCUCCAAAACAUUUGCUGCCAUUUUCAAUCCUCAAAGCUUUCAGUUCUAUAAAAUGCUAUCGGUUCUGUUCUCCAAUUAUUAUCUCCUUCCUUGUUUGGUUUCUCCUCAAGGUGCUGCUGAGAAGUGGUGGAAUACAGGUACAGUCCCAGGUGAUGCCAGCUACAUCUUCACUGCUUUCAAGUGCCAAAGGCUCCCUUAGGUUAAGUACAAAUUCUGCUUGAUGCCCUUUGGAAAGCUUGGUCACACUAAGCAAAGUUUGUCUCUGCUCACAGGUGUGUUAUAAAGAUGCUGCCUCAUGACAACUGCAGUUCAUCAGGUUCCAGGCCAGCUCUCUGCAAAUGGUAACCUCAAAGGCACAGCAUGGUCACAGAUGGAUCACUGCAGUAUAAAUCAUUCAUACAGAAAAAGCUUUCAUUAGAAGAGAAAGAUCAAGCAUUCAAACGGCUCUCCCAGCACAUGGAAAUGAAGUUUAGGAUCUACAUUAAAAACCAGUUGGUGAAACCAGUUCAACUUUUUUAUUUAGUACUAAUGCAGUGUUUGUCCUGGUAAUACCACAAAGCAUAACCACUUCAAACAGGUGAGGUUUCAUGGAGUCCUCCACUCUUGGAAGUGUCUACAUCCUAACACCACAGCCCAGUGCAAACCCAAACUUGCUAUAUACUGGGAUGUGCAAGCAGCAACUCAGCUGUGUGAGGAUGGUUUGCACCAGCAAUGCAGGGGACUUGCAAAGCUCCAGCUGCAUGUAGCAUCCCUCUGCAAAACCCACAUAAUGUUUUAUCUCUGCCAGGACAGUCAGAUUUCAGUGUUUUCUGCAUAUAGAUUCUAAAAGUGUCUAUCACCACAGUGCUUCACAAUUGAUCUGGUUUUUACCUUGCAGGCUUGGAGAUUCCAUGUGUCAAGAUGAUCUAGCUGAGGUAACAGAUGACUUGGAUGUUUCAAAGAGUUCUUGCUAAUGUCCCUCAUAAAACCAG